AAAUAAGUAUGAAUACAUUUUAUCGAUUGAUGACAUCCAUAAGCACGAAAGUAACAAUAUACAAUAAAAAUACGAGUAGUUCGUGAUGUUGUAGCUAGAGAAUCGUGACCAGAAGGUAUGUACCAUUUCUAUAUAAAUCCGCCGCAUCCUACUAAAUUCAGUACAGUUCAAGCUUGAGUCUAGUCUGACAAUCAAAGACAACAGAUUUCCCGUAUAAACAUGGCCACCAAAACCAUUCUCCUUUUGGCAAUCGUAGCAACCCUGUUUACUGUUGCCGUAGCUGCUCCUGCACCACAAGCGUUGCUAGGAAAACUUAACGUUGAUUCCGAUGACCUUACCGCUGUUGAGGCACCACAUGCUGCUCAAGUUCCGGGAGCAGCUCAAAACCUUAAGGCUCCUAUAUCAGGCUGAUUUCGCUUUGUUAUGCUGGAUACAUGAAUUCAACAUUGGCCGUAAAGUAAAUAAAGAGCACAUCUUGCACUGCAUGUAAACAA